ACAAUCCAGGGAAAAAGCAAGGUCCAGAUGCUGUGGUUUACCUGUCUGAUGUCAUCAUGACUGAACAGAAGAACACUGAUCAAGUGACUUUAAACUGCUCUGUGUGGACAUAUAAACGGUGUAAACACAAAGUGAGGUGGAUCCAUGACAGUGGAGGUCUGAAUAGAGAUUACUCAAACAUAAAAACAUUACAGUCGCCCUGCUCUGCUGCUGUUACUUUUAUAAAGUCAUCAUACAGUCACAUAUCUAACUCUGACUUUAAGUGUAACGUAACAACAGAAGAAAACAAAGAGCAGCUUUUUACCUUCAGGCCUCAGUCAUCAGAUACAGUAACAUCAGCAA